CCGAAAGCUCUCUUGAAUUGCCAGCUUACACCUUCAUAGUUAAGAGACCAUUACUCAGCACAACAUGGCAGCUAAUAUUUAAAACAGUAAAGAGGAAAGGCAAUCAUUUCCUCACUAAAUGAAAUAGGAGAUAUGAAUCAGAGGAAUACAAUCUGGCACUGAUUGAAGUAAAUUACCAGCUGAUUAGACGGCUAUAAAUACAGGGAGAGAAGCCUCAACAGGCAGCUGGAUUUUGUAAGGAAGAGGGCAAUUAGAGAGGGCACAGAAGAGGCAGAGCACAGCCAGGGCAGCUCUGCGGCACCACGAUUACAAAGGCAGGAAGGGGUCUGUAGGAAGCGUUCUGCCGCUGGUGCCUGCAUGAAAGGGGAGCUCCUCACUCCCACUCACCCUUCCCCACCUCCCUGGUGAGCAUGAAGAGCUUAAACUGCCAGCCCCAUAGCUGGCAGCAGUUAGAAGGGGUGUUUGUUAUUGCAACACAGGAAGUAUCAACAAUUUAUCCUCCUUUUCUAUGCAGUACUCAAUCUGGAAGCUUUUUGCUUCCUAUCAAAACCCAGGGACUUGAAAACUACUCAGGCCCCUGCAGCCUACAAGGGACAAGAUUCAUGCAGAUCUCAGUGGGAGAUGCGAUCUCCAGACAGCAGCUGGGGCCCCUUGUUGCAUACAGCAAGCACUUAAAGACGCAAACCUCCGUGAUACCAGGAACUGAGAACUUUCUGCAAUUUAUAAUAGUGUAACUGGAAAGCCAAGAGCUCCUCUGUGCCUACCAAAGAACAUUCCCUCUUCCUUUGGCAACUUGGAGGAGAUAGUUUGGCCAGCCUAGGAGGAAGUGAUUGGCUGGGACAGAAAUGAGGGAGAGGAGGGUGUGAUUUUUACUUGGGUGAUGGACAUGAACAUAACAAAGAACAGACAGGAUGCCUUAGUCCCACUGGUGUUAUGAAUUCCAUAGCCCUGAGCCUUGCCCUACUACAGGCUUGUGUAAUUCUCAAGAAUGUGCUGUCAUGGCCCAAGGGGAGACUAUGCAGCGCAGACCCUCCAGCUGUGAGGUUAACUCAGCAAUGCUCCACCCUUGUCAUCUUUGGGUUUCAGCACUCGGGCCCUGGACACGCUUCUCACCAGAAGUGAACACUCGGUGGAGGCUGCAAUAGACCCAAAGACCACAUCAGCUGCAGUUUGCAUCGAGAAGAAAUGAUUCUAAUGUAACAUGACAGAGGACAUAUGAGACGAUGAAUAAACAAUAGAGAAUAAAAAUAAUGGAGGAAGGAAUUCAGAGUUGAAGAACUCCUUCAAGGAUACACAAAACUGUCAUCGGUAGUUAAGACUUCAGUGGUCUGAGGGUGAACUGCAGGUAAGUAGUCCCUCUUAUCAAAUGCCUCUUUAACAAGGCUUGCAGCUAUCUGGAUGCGACACCCAUCAUAAAAGCCGGUAUUCAUCAGAUCAGGAAAAGGGUGCAAAUAACCGACAUUAGCCAAGAAAGAAUUCAAAGAUAUUUUUGAACUAGUUUGGGGCCAACUUUUGGGUGAGAACAGAAGAGAAAUUGAAUUCACUUCAUCUGGUGUUAACUGAAAUAAGAGUUAAUGUGUCAAAUAUCUUCAUCCUGACUAAAACUAAGACCACAGAUUAGAGCACCAAAGGGUGUGACUAGAAA